GACGAACCGUGCAAACGUUGUUCGGAAUCACUGGGCUUAAAGGGCGCGUAGGCGGGCACGCAAGUCGAAGGUGAAAUCCCACGGCUCAACCGUGGAAGUGCCCCCGAUACUGCUUGUCUUGAGGGAGAUAGGGGCGUGCGGAACUUCCGGUGGAGCGGUGAAAUGCGUAGAUAUCGGGAGGAACACCGGUGGCGAAGGCAGCUCUCUGGGACGGUACUGACGCUGAGACGCGAAAGCGUGGGGAGCGAACAGG
rnacentral:rRNA from 1 species